AGGACGAACGCUGGCGGCGUGCUUAACACAUGCAAGUCGAGCGGAAAGGCCCUUCGGGGUACUCGAGCGGCGAACGGGUGAGUAACACGUGAGCAACCUGCCCCUGGCUCUGGGAUAGCCUCCGGAAACGGGGAUUAAUACCGGAUAUUCACUGCUUCCUGCAUGGGGGGUGGUGGAAAGUUUUUCGGCUAGGGCGGGGCUCGCGGCCUAUCAGCUUGUUGGGGGGGUGACGGCCCACCAAGGCGACGACGGGUAGCCGGCCUGAGAGGGCGACCGGCCACACUGGGACUGAGACACGGCCCAGACUCCUACGGGAGGCAGCAGUGGGGAAUAUGCGCAAUGGGCGGAAGCCUGACGCAGCGACGCCGCGUGCGGGAUGAAGGCCUUCGGGUUGUAACCGCUUUCACCAGGACGAAGCGAGAGUGACGGUACCUGGGGAAGAAGCGCCGGCGUAACUACGCGCCAGCAGCCGC
rnacentral:rRNA from 1 species